rnacentral:rRNA from 1 species
AUGACCACCAUGGACUCCCUCAAGGACGACAACGUGGAGGAGAUCCUGCUCCGCCUCCCAUCGUGGGCCCCCCUCGGGCACGCCGUGCGCGCCUCUGGCCGCCUGCGCCGCGUCGCCUCCAACCCCGGCUUCCUCCGCUGCUUCCGCGCACGCCACGCCUCGUCGUCGCCCCACGGCUUCCUCGGCGUCUUCUCCCGCUGGCAACCCUCCGGCCUCCCCCUCUUCCACCUCGCGGGCCCAGCCCGGUCCGACCCCGGCCUCGUCGCCAUCGCGCACGCCGGCGACUUCCUGCUCGCCUGCCUCGAGGACGACCCGGCGUGGCGCCUCCACGACUGCCGCAACGGCCGCCUCCUCCUCUCCAGAGGCAGAGGAUCUCUCUCCGUCUACGACCCCAUCUCUCUCCGCCGCAUCGACAUAGACCGCCCGCACGACGACCCCUUUCCGGACGGCUACAUCGCCGACGCCAACUGCCUGGUCGACGACGGCGACGCUUCCUUCCGCGUGGUCUCCUUGCAGGUGGACGGUCGCCGCAGGCUGCGGGCCGUCGAGUACGACUCCAGAUCACACGGGUGGCGCUUCCAUCCUUGGGCGGCGGACACCGUCACGGCGCCCCCGGCGUACCAGACGAUGUACGCGGCCGGGCUCAUGUUCUGGAACCACGACGGGGACACCGCGGGGGCCUCGUCGCUCUUGCUCGACACCCGCACCAGGGACUUCUCCAUGCUCCCUCUCCCGGCAGCCAUUUCGGAGGCGCGCUCGAAUACCAGAGACCGACGACGGCAAGUGCUGCCUUGUGUGCGUCAAGGACCGCCGGCUGCAACUGUGGCUACUCAAGGAGAACCGUGGUGGUCGCAACCGCAAUAUUUGGGUGUUGGAGAAGGAAAAGCCAUGGAUGGAGCUGCUUGGCGGAUUCUGCCAGGUGCAGCACGUCGGGAAGGUGGUCGCCGGACUAGUCAUCGUUUGGGCAGGCACUGCCGGCGGGGAGUCGUUUCAUCAUUAUGCCAUUGA